CCAGAGCGAGAGGCAGUGACACUGAGCGGGCGCAGGGGGCUGAGUCGGAGACGGUACCUGAGUUCGGGAGCGGCAAAUAGAGGGGGUAUAGACACUGUGAGCAGCCUCGCCGUAGCCUCUGCGUUCCUGUUGAUUGUCUCUGUGCCCCCUCCCCUACUCCUCGUUUGCUGGCGAAGAGGCUGAGCGCUGCUGUUUGGGGAGGGGGUGUGUGGAGCCGGGUCCUGUGUCUGCAGUGGCUGCUGUCGGGGGAUCGUCUGACCGCGGAGGUGUGGAGAGACUCCUUGGGGGUCGAGCAAAUAACGGGGUUCGGGUGUCUGGUGUGUGAACAUCACAGGUCUAUUCUGGAUAGCAGGUUUUGUGAAGACCUAUAUUCUUUCUUGGACCUCAGAUUUACCAGACAUCUCAUGAUGUAAUGCUGUGUUUAUCCUGGGGAUGAGCUUCUGUGAUUUUAGAAGAGAGGUGCAUUUCUGGAAAAGGUGUCAUGUGGUUGUUCUUAUAGCACUUGCAUAGGUUGACAACUCAUUUGAUUAAUGAGGCCAGAGCUGCAUUUUCAUCCCGGGUGCUCUAAUUCAUUUACCUGUUCUUUGUAGAGUACCUGUUUCAUUCCGUGCACUGUGCAGGAUUUGAGAGAGAGACAGUAAUGACACAAAUAUAAGCUAUUGUCUGAAAUAGGUUUUUGUGGCAUGCUCUUCACUGCUAUUUAAAAACAGCUCAAGUAUAGUGUUAAAUAUUGAAGAUUGUAUACUUAUGUAAAAAUGGGCUGUACUGUUAUUAAAUACAUGCUCAAAUAGAUUGUUUUAGAUUGGAAAUACUACUCAGUUACCUAAAAUAAUACAUAAUUAUUUGACUUCUGUUUUCCAGUUUCUGCCUCUGGUUUAAAAAAGAAAAAAAAAGCAUACAACUAUAUAUUUAGCAACAUACACCUAAAAAAUAAGGUUUCCUAUGAGUCGAAAGAUAAGCUGAGCUGAAGAAAGCUUCUACCAACUAGAUGCUACCAUCAGGGAGUAAUUUUUUUAAUUGUAAUUGUUCUUAGGUCCAGGUCUUCAGCAUUUUAAAGAAAUACAGAAUAAUAUAACAUUUGAUUUAUAUAUUACUUGCAUUUUAUCAUUUAGAAAUUUUAUAAUUUUAUACCUUUGUGCAGGUUAAUAAAUACAGCUUUUUAUGAAGUAACUCCA
rnacentral:lncRNA from 1 species